UAGUCGAAGCUGCGAUGGAGUUCGUCGG
rnacentral:sRNA from 1 species